rnacentral:tRNA from 1 species
CGGGCUAGAGCUUGAUCUAAAGCAUUUUAUUUACACUAAAAAGUUAAUUGUGAAAAUCAAUUUGGCUUGA